rnacentral:rRNA from 1 species
UGGGGAAUAUUGCGCAAUGGGGGAAACCCUGACGCAGCAACGCCGCGUGAAGGAAGAAGGUCUUCGGAUUGUAAACUUUUGUCUUCAGGGACGAAUUCUGACGGUACCUGAGGAGGAAGCUCCGGCUAACUACGUGCCAGCAGCCGCGGUAAUACGUAGGGAGCGAGCGUUGUCCGGAAUUACUGGGUGUAAAGGGUGCGUAGGCGGGUAUGCAAGUCAUGUGUGAAAUACCGGGGCUCAACUCCGGAACUGCACAAGAAACUGCAUAUCUUGAGUGCAGGAGAGGUAAGCGGAAUUCCUAGUGUAGCGGUGAAAUGCGUAGAUAUUAGGAGGAACACCAGUGGCGAAGGCGGCUUACUGGACUGUAACUGACGCUGAGGCACGAAAGCGUGGGGAGCAAACAGG